rnacentral:tRNA from 1 species
GCCUCCUUAGCUUAGUCGGUAGAGCAUCCGCUUCGUAAGCGGGAGGUCGCUGGUUCGAUUCCGGUAGGGGGCU